UUAGCCUUCAGCUCCAGUUGGCUUGGCCUGCUGGGUCCAGGAACAGGCCCAGGUCUCCCUGCUUUCCCAGGAAAUCUGUUCUCUCCCUUUGUUCACUUCUUGGGGAACCACUCUAGAAUUCUGGGCCUGCCUGGAGUCCUCCCAGAAGGUAUUUCAGAACAGUGGAAGAUUCUUCUUUCCCCUUUUCAAUUGAGCAGGGAGGAGUCUUUGUUGUUCACGGUAAAAUGGGAAGGUUUUAACAUUCUAGAACCAUUUUGUUGAGUGGACCAUUCCUGGCCCUGACACCCACAGCACUGUCUGAGGAAGGGCUAUCUGAGUAGGCAAAGGGCAAGGAGAUGAUAUGGUCCUAAGCAGGGCUACUGCCCUCAAGGGUGUUCAGUCCAGGGUGCCAGGGCACUAAAGCCAGCCUAUGCCAAGCCUGCACCCCGGUGUGAGGCUGUCCUCCUGGAGUUAAGGGAUCCUUUUUGUCAUUCUCACAAAGGUGCCAAAUGGAAAGCAGCAGCCCCAGUCCCAGUAAGCGAAGAGGCUUGGACACGAGCAAGCUGGCUGAGUGGCUUGAGAGUAGGUGCCCAGUAAGCUGUCCCUGUGAAGCGCCAUUUGGGGUGACUCUGGCCACAGGUGUUCUGAGAGGAACUGACAAUCAUCUGGGGCAGAUAAGGAGGUGGGUCUGUAGGAUGCAGCAACAGAAUUUACUGUCUGAUGGUUCUUUGCACUUGUCUAGCUCUUCAUGUUUCCCAUAUUACCGCAUGAGGUCCCCAGGUCAAUUCUGUGAAUGCAGGGCAUGCAUAUCCCUGUGGGCUCUGGUGGCUGAGGCUCCUGUCUAAGGUGAGUGAAAGGAGGAACUGGGUCUUUCCUGCUUCCACUUGAAGCAAGAUUCCCUUUUUCCUCCCUCCACUAGCAACAGAAAAAUAUGUAGAAAUCUCUGAUAUAUGCAGGGCCUGGGGAAGGAACUAAUAGGAAAGAGGGGAAGGAAGGAAGCUACAAAAGCCCAAAGAAAUGGGGUUGGCCCUGUGGGAGAGCUCUGGAGUGGGGUGGGGACAAGACGAGCCAAAGUUUAGGAAGCCCCCAAAGCCUCCAGCGUCCAUGGGGCUGAAAGGAGGGAAGUGUGGGAACAAGAAGCAAAAAACCAUGGCCUAGAAUAAGGACCAGGGAGGUGGGGAGUCCUGAUGUAACCUGGAAGGAAAACAACUGGCCUUUUAAAUCCUGCUUCUGGCCUCUUAUCGGGGGCUUGAUGUGGAGGUGGUAGAGGCAGCCUAUCACCUCCCUCUAGCUUACCAGAGUCUCGUGGGGUGGGGAGGUGGAAGGGACUCCACAUAGGAUGCUGAUGGCUAAGAAAAAGGAAGCACGACCUUUUCAGUCCCAUCCUCAUUCCCCCUAUCAUUUUGUAAUUGCAUUUGGUGGUUGAUUCACUCAAGGGAAGGAAAAGCAGUUAGAUUCUCACCUGCCAGAACAAAACAGUCGAUCGACUUGGCUCUCUUUGCUUUACACACCGAAGAGCACAAUUCAGAUCUUCUGUGUUUAUUAAUCAAAACAAGAAUUAAAGAACAUAUUUAUCUCAAGUUCUUUCACUGUCAAGGAUUCAGAUUAUCAGAUCAAAGCCUCAUGUCUAGAACAUUUGCUCCAACAUGGAAAAGCUUUUCUUUAGCUCAGUGGUGGUGACUGCAAUGGGAUCAAAUGUCCUAUGCACCUCUGUUCCCAG
rnacentral:lncRNA from 1 species